GACGAACGCUGGCGGCGUGCCUAACACAUGCAAGUCUACUCAGCAAUGGGUGGCGAACGGGUGAGUAACGCGUAGACAAUCUGCCCUUUAAUCACGGAUAACCUAGUGAAAACUGGACUAAAACGGGAUGUGGUCGCGAUAUGGCAUCAUAUGCGAUCAAAGACGUAGUCGUUAAAGGAGGAGUCUGCGUAACAUUAGCUAGUUGGUAAGGUAACGGCUUACCAAGGCGACGAUGUUUAGCUGGUCUGAGAGGAUGAUCAGCCACACUGGGACUGAGAUACGGCCCAGACUCCUACGGGAGGCAGCAGUGAGGAAUAUUGCACAAUGGGGGCAACCCUGAUGCAGCAACGCCGCGUGUACGAUGACACAGUUUAUCUGCGUAAAGUACUGUUAACCGGGACGAAAAGAUGCAUGGACUGCAUUUAUAUGACGGUACCGGUAGAGGAAGCUCCGGCUAACUCCGUGCCAGCAGCCGCGGU
rnacentral:rRNA from 1 species